UACGAAGGGGGGCUAGCGUUGUUCGGAAUUACUGGGCGUAAAGCGCACGUAGGCGGCUUUGCAAGUUAGAGGUGAAAGCCCAGGGCUUAACCCUGGAAUUGCCUUUAAAACUGCAUCGCUAGAAUUGUGGAGAGGUGAGUGGAAUUCCGAGUGUAGAGGUGAAAUUCGUAGAUAUUCGGAAGAACACCAGUGGCGAAGGCGACUCACUGGACACAUAUUGACGCUGAGGAGCGAAAGCGUGGGGAGCGAACAGG
rnacentral:rRNA from 1 species